UGAUCCGAGGUCACCUGGAUAAAAAUUUGGGUUGAUCGGCAAGCGCCGGCCGGGCCUACAGAGCGGGUGACAAAGCCCCAUACGCUCGAGGACCGGACGCGGUGCCGCCGCUGCCUUUCGGGCCCGUCCCCCGGAGAUCGGAGGACGGGGCCCAACACACAAGCCGGGCUUGAGGGCAGCAAUGACGCUCGGACAGGCAUGCCCCCCGGAAUACCAGGGGGCGCAAUGUGCGUUCAAAGACUCGAUGAUUCACUGAAUUUGCAAUUCACAUUACGUAUCGCAUUUCGCUGCGUUCUUCAUCGAUGCCGGAACCAAGAGAUCCGUUGUUGAAAGUUUUAAAUAAUUUAUAUUUUCACUCAGACUUCAAUCUUCAGACAGAGUUCGAGGGUGUCUUCGGCGGGCGCGGGCCCGGGGGCGUGAGCCCCCCGGCGGCCAGUUAAGGCGGGCCCGCCGAAGCAACAAGGUAAAAUAAACACGGGUGGGAGGUUGGACCCAGAGGGCCCUCACUCGGUAAUGAUCCUUCCGCAGGUUCACC
rnacentral:misc_RNA from 1 species